rnacentral:rRNA from 1 species
GUGGCUCAGAUUGAACGCUGGCGGGAUGCUUUACAUGCAAGUCGAACGGCAGCACGGACUUCGGUCUGGUGGCGAGUGGCGAACAGGUGAGUAAUGUAUCCAGGAACAAUGCCUAGUAGCGGGGAUGCUGCGAAAGCGUAAUAAUACCACUGUACGCCCUUCGGAAAGCGGGGGACCUUCGGGCGCUCGCACUAUUAAACGGCCGAUAUGGAUUAGCUAGUUGGUGGGUCCAUCAGCUGGUUUGAAGGACCCGACCAGCCACACUGGAGACUGAGACACGGCCCAGACUCUACAGGAGGCAGCAGUGGGGAAUUUGGACAAUGGAAACCCUGAUCCAGCCAUCCCGCGUGUGCGAUGAAGGCCUUCGGGUUGUAAAGCACUUUUGGCAGGAAGUGGCACGGGAUAUCUGCCCCGUGCAACUGGCUGCCGGUCUUUUCCCGGCUAACUACGUGCCAGCAGCGGUAAUACGUAGGGUGCAAGCGUUAAUCGAAUUACUGGGCGUAAGACGCAGGCGGUUCCGGAAAGAAAAGAUGUGAAAUCCCAGAGCUUAACUUUGGAACUGCAUUUUUAACUACCGAGCUAGGCAGUUGUAGAGGAGGUGGAAUUCCGCGUGUAGCAGUGAAAUGCGUAGAUGGCGGAGAAAUCACCGACGAAGGCAGCCUCCUGGGAUAACGCUCAUGCACACAGCGUGAACAGUUAGAUACCUGGUAGUCCACGCCUAAACGAUGUCAACUAGCUGUUGGGGCCUUCGGGCCUUGGUAGCGCAGCUAACGCGUGAAGUUGACCGCCUGGGAGUACGGUCGCAAAGGUGAAACUCAAAGGAGGACCCGCACAAGCGGUGGAUGAUGUGGAUUAAUUCGAUGCAACGCGAAAAACCUUACCUACCCUUGACAUGUCUGGAAUCCCGAAGAGAUUUGGGAGUGCUCGCAAGAGGCCAGCACAGGUACUGCAUGGCAUGAUCAGCUCGUGUCGUGAGAUGUUGGUCCGCAACGAGCGCAACCCUUGUCAUUAGUUGCUACGAAGGGCACUCCUAAUGAGACUGCCAUUGACAAACCGGAGGAAGGUGGGGAUGACGUCGUCCUCAUGGCCCUUAUGGGUAGGGCUUCACACGUCUACAAUGGUCGGGACAGAGGGUCGCCAGAAACCCGUCGUAGUCCGGAUCGCAAUCUGCCAGCUCGUUCAGUAAUCGGAAUCGCUAAUCGCGGAUCAGCAUGUCGCGGUGGUCUUGCCACACCGCCCGUCACCAUGGGAGUGGGUUUUACCAGAAGUAGUUAGCCUAACCCAAGCCAAGGAGGGCGAUUACCACGGUAGGAUUCAUGACUGGGGUGAAGUCGUAACAAGGUAG